GCUGGGCACGGUGGUGCGUGCCUGUAAUCCCAGCUACUCAGGAGGCUGAGGCAGGAGAAUUGCCUGAACCCAGGAGGCUGAGGUUGCGGUGAGCCGUGAUGGCGCCAUUGCACUCCAGCCUGGGUAACAAGAGCAAAACUCCGCCUCAA
ensembl:misc_RNA Metazoa_SRP Metazoan signal recognition particle RNA